rnacentral:rRNA from 1 species
AACGUAGGUGGCGAGCGUUAUCCGGAUUUACUGGGCGUAAAGGGUGUGCAGGCGGGCUGUUAAGUGGUGUAUGAAAUAUCCCGGCUCAACCGGGAGAGGUUAUGCCAGACUGGCAGUCUAGAGAGCGAGAGAGGGACGUGGAAUUCCGGGUGUAGUGGUGAAAUGCGUAGAGAUCCGGAGGAACCCCAGAGACGAAGGCGGCGUCCUGGCUCGCAUCUGACGCUCAGACACGACAGCAUGGGGAGCGAACGGG